CCCAGCUAUGCAACCCAAGAGGGGGGGGUGAAUUGGGUUUCUAAAAAUUUUAAGCCCAACAGAUAACUUAUGAAGAACAAAACAAUGGCUUUAAAUCAAUAUUAAUUUCCUAAAGCAGUAUUGCAAGGAUAUAAUAAAGAAAUAAGAUAAAGCGAUAAAGCACACCACAAACACAAGAAUUUAUAGUGGUUCGGUGCUAACCUUGCACCUACAUCCACUCCCCAAGAUCCCACUUGGGAAUUUCAAUCCACUAUCCUUUGUAUUCAACCCGAAUACAAAACGUCGGAAACUCCGACACUAGCUAUCCCAAGCUAGAAUACAAGACGUCGGAAACUCCGACACUAGCUAUCCCAAGCUAGAUCACUUGUUUCCUGGGUACAAGUAAACCCAAAACACUCCGAUUUCAGGUUCGGAUCAAUCUUUCCUUGUUUUGGAAAUCCUCCAAAAAUAAGAUCAAAAACUCACAAAGAGUAAGAAUAUUUAGAGCACAG
rnacentral:lncRNA from 1 species